AACAAGGUUUCCGUAGGUGAACCUGCGGAAGGAUCAUUAUUGA
rnacentral:rRNA from 1 species